CGUCCAAACGUUAUUCGGUAUCACUGGGCUUAAAGCGUGCGUAGGCGGCUUGGUAGGUGAGAUGUGAAAGCCCACGGCUCAACCGUGGAAUUGCGUUUCAAACCCCCAAGCUCGAGGAAGAUAGGGGUGAUGGGAACUUAUGGUGGAGCGGUGAAAUGCGUUGAUAUCAUAGGGAACACCGGUGGCGAAAGCGCAUCAUUGGAUCUUUUCUGACGCUGAGGCACGAAAGCUAGGGUAGCGAACGGGAUUAGAUACCCCGGUAGUCCUAGCCGUAAACGAUGAACACUGGGUUGAGGGGACUUCCACAUCCUCUCGGCCGUAGCGAAAGCGUUAAGUGUUCCGCCUGGGGAGUAUGGUCGCAAGGCUGAAACUCAAAGGAA
rnacentral:rRNA from 1 species